rnacentral:rRNA from 1 species
UACGUAGGGUCCGAGCGUUGUCCGGAAUUACUGGGCGUAAAGAGCUCGUAGGUGGUUUGUCGCGUUGUUCGUGAAAACUCACAGCUCAACUGUGGGCGUGCGGGCGAUACGGGCAGACUGGAGUACUGCAGGGGAGACUGGAAUUCCUGGUGUAGCGGUGGAAUGCGUAGAUAUCGAGAGGAACACCUGCGGCGAAGGCGGGUUGCUGGGCUGACACUGACGCUGAUGCGCGAAAGCCAGGGGAGCGAACGGG